UCUUUAUAUUAUAUUUUUUAAUUAUAUAUAAGAUUUUUUUAUUAAUUAUUAAGUUUAAUAUUUUAUUGGGGUAAUAAAAAGAUUUGAUUAAUUCUUUUUUUAUUUUAACAUUAAUAAAUGAGUUUAUGAUCCAAUAUUAUUGAUUAAAAGAUUAAGU
rnacentral:rRNA from 1 species